CAGUAGCCGCGGGAAUACGUAGGUGGCAAGCGUUGUCCGGAAUUAUUGGGCGUAAAGCGCGCGCAGGUGGUUUAAUAAGUCUGAUGUGAAAGCCCACGGCUCAACCGUGGAGGGUCAUUGGAAACUGGGAAACUUGAGUGCAGAAGAGGAGAGUGGAAUUCCACGUGUAGCGGUGAAAUGCGUAGAGAUGUGGAGGAACACCAGUGGCGAAGGCGACUCUCUGGUCUGUAACUGACGCUGAGGAGCGAAAGCGUGGGGAGCGAACAGGAUUAGAUACCCCCGUAGUCCCUGUCUCUUAUAC
rnacentral:rRNA from 1 species